CACAGUAUAGCUCCUAAUAUCAGGAAGAUGCCUUACUGUCACUCAAAGGCCACAAGAUUAUUGAGAGGUUUUCUCGGUGGGGGAGUAAGAUUCUUCUUAGUUCUUGAACAAUGAUCUGAAGCUGUCAGUUAUGAAAUAUUGUGCAAUGCUAGGCAAGAACAUACCAGUACUUAACCAGUUCUGAGUCAUUUAAUGAUUGACAGAUUCAGAACACCAUCCCGCAUGGAGAAGAAUGUUAACCUCAGCUGGAGUAGGCUUCCCACAGAGGACUUCUCCUUUUCUCAUAACCUUUGAUAGAAAGAACCUCUCAGGGUUCUUUUGAAAACCUACACACUGAUUUUGGCUCUUUGCAGGAAUGGAGCCCGCUCUCGGGGUCUCACUGGCCACUAUUUGAAAUUCCAAGGGCACAGCCUAGAAGACCAGUUCGCCUCCGGGGUUCCGGAAUUUCGUGGCUCUGGAGGCAGGUGGACUUGAGGUCGGUACCUCUGCAGGAAAUCAGUGUGUCAUGGGAGACAGAAGAUUGAAACCAGUGAGCUGGCUGCUGGCUGUGUGCCCAGAGACCUGAGUUCUUUAGGCACAGAGCUCGGAAAAAGCGAUGCAGACUUUUAACAUCAUGAACCGAUUUGACUGCUUUGAAUGAGUGGACACUGGCAGAGGACUGGCAAGGGACUACAGCCACUAGGUUAAUGGAAAACUUGUCAUCCUGCAAGAGUUGAAGAGAUCCACGUCUGUUAAUCAGGCUGAAGCUGGUAUCACUGGGUGUUCUAUGCAAUAACUUGAAUUAAUCCGAGGGGAGUCAGGGAGAGAUUUCUACUACCUUUGGGACCUUUUGCAAAAGUCAGUACAUAAAUUAUACGACAGAAUAUUAGAAGAAUGGGAGCCCUCCGUGAAACUUACAGAAUUAUUUCAAGGCUUCAUCUGUGCCCAAACACCUAUUGCAUUUCCGAUUGUUGGCUCGAUCACAUCUGAUACAGGAUCCAGGUUUGAUUCCCUGAUGGAAGACUGAGCCUCAUGAUGAAACCUGUUGUGGCAAUCCUGGAGUCUGUAAGAGUUAUUUCAGUCUGAACAUCUGAAUGCUGAUUGUUCUAAUGGCAAACAUCAAUCGCAGUCAGCAUGAUUCAAUGUGUUUGUCUGUUUCUUUCUUCACUGAUGCUGCUUGUCUGAUAGAGCAUUCCCUGCUCUUUCGUUAUUUUUAUUAAGGAGUAGGGAAAUAAGUUGGAGAAUGAUGAAAACUUAUUGCAAACCAAAUAUUUGUGCAGUCAGUUUAGAGAAAUCUGAAGCCACAUAGCAACAGCCCAAUCUGCUUUCUGGUAUUGCCCUGCCGGAGAGCCACAACUUCAGCACUGAGGAAGAGAAUUGCCCCGACACUUCCACAUGGGCCCACCCAGUGGGACAGCAGGUCCAGGCCAAUGGUGCAGGGCUCCCAGAUGUCGGCAAGCCACACCUCAUGCUCCACUGUGUUUUUCCCACUGCGAUAUGCACCUCCUCUUCCCUCUAAUCACCGCACAGCCGCCGGUGACCGUAGCAAGCUGGACCGCCAUCACUGUCCACCCAGGCAGGGAUGGCUGUUCCGUGUUGGGGAGAACACAGGGAUGGUUGAUGGUGAUAAUUUACCCCAUGUCCACUUGCACAUGGCGCCUGAUAGCCUCCACCAUGCAGUCCACGUAUGAGCCUUCCUCUUCACCAAAAUGGACCACCUGGAGAGAUGGCAAUGGAGGGACUUGACAGCACUGCACACUCUGCGUUUCCCAGUGGUUGCACUGGGCUGAGGUUUGCUGCUCUUUCCGCAGCAGCCCCGAGUCACACGGCCUGCCUCGCCACACCGGUAGCACAGAUUGCUGUGUGACACGUGACAGGACCGACGCUGGUCAGACCUGUUUCACGGGCUCCUCCACAUCAAUCUCCUCCUCCGCCUUGCUGACACAGGCCUGGGCUCACAGUUUGUGGGGCGAUGCUGCUGCACUUUGGGGGGCUAAAAUUACUUCUGCCCUUUCCGCUUCGUCCAGCAAGAGACAAUGGUGAUGUCAGGCGAAUGCAUCAGCUUCUUUUGGAAAGGUUUGGAAGGCAAGCUCUUCACGGAAAGUGGGGGUAGCUUUGCUGAGUACAGUGGCACCGUCUGAUGCUCAUUUCUUACCUUAUUGCUUCCUCCAAUGACCUCUGCCCGAAACACCGCUCCAGUGCUGCUGAGAGCCCUGUAUUCACACUGCUCAGCUGGCAUCAGGUCAAGAAGGGCCCACAGGUCGUCCUCCUCCAGCACCAGCGCAAGCUGCACCGCUGUCACAGCAGGGCACCCACCGUUGUGUUGUGCGGCAAGUUUGUCUUGCACCAGGAAAGGCUCCAGGUGGCUGGCUCCAUUGUAUCUGGGGAGCUUCAGGGUUGACCUUGUGGUGUGAAUUGCUGAGGCCUGUUGGUCUUCCUGUUGCUCCAGCAGCAUCUGCCAUGUUGCCCAUCCUCCCACGACUGCAGCAUCUUGGGCUCCCUGGCGUGGGCCUGUGGGGGAGGUGGGGUGGUGCACUCCACCAUGUCCCUCAGUUUGGGGUGCAUAGGUAUGUUCACCCCAUUGGGGUUCCCUGGAAAGGCACAAUUCUCAGUUCCCAGGUUGUCUCUCUGAGUCAGUACCCCAUCUUUGGGAGUCCGGCAUGGGGAUGCAGGGGAGGUAUACUGCAUGACCAUUCGACAUUCCCUGAGCAUAAGGAGCUCCAUGUAAUGUUAUUUCUCUUCAAUCUUGCCUACAAUUUCUAAUUUCACUCCUGACACCAAUCGGGCAAGUAUUCAGUCCAUGAUGACAGACAAGAAAAGCCCAUUUUUCUCAACUCUUAUUGAGACAAACACAAAAACAGACCAGGCACCAAGAACCUGGGAGAGAACCUACUCAGUCACAUAUGGACAGGGGAGGUGAUUAUUAAACACCCCGGUUACAGUCAGGGUGGCCCUCAAACACACAUGUGAAUAACUGUAUAACCUAAGCUAAAAUGUAACAAUAAAUGAACUUGAACAUCCCAUCAUAAUCUCACAAAAGCAUUUUAAAACAAGAACAAUAAACAGCACUUGUCACUAGGAAUGCUGGGACGGGCUGUGACCACGCUCCCCCCCCCCACCCCCCCGGAGCGCUAGACUGUAGAGAGAUAGUUACAUCCAAGAUGCAGUACAGGAAAGCUGGGUGACACUCAGAUAGAGUAAAGGGAUUAAGGAGUCAGUGCAGAUUACUCCCGUUGCAUUCCCCUCAACAAAAGAUAUACUGUUGCUGGGGUGUUGACCGAACAGAGGAAAAUCACAGUGGUCGGGGGUCUGGCACUUGUCUGCCUCUGUGACUCAGAUGGGAAGGGGAAGGAAGGGGAUUUAUUAUUUAGGGGAACAGACAGGAGGUUCUGUGGGUGAGAACGAGAUUAACGGAUGGUAUGUUGCCUUCUGGGUACCAGGGCCCAGGAUUUUGGGUGAAGUCAUGACCAUUUAGGUACCAAUGACAUGGGUAGGAUGAGUGAUGAGGUUUUGCAUAGGGAGUUCAAGGAGUUAUGUGCUAAGUUAAAGGGCAGGACCUCCAGGGUUGUGAUCUCAGGAUUGCUACCCACACCACAUGCUAGUGUGGUCAGAACUGGGAAGAUUAUACAGUUUAACAUUUGGCUAAGGAGCUGCUAUAGGUGGGAAGGGAUAAGAAUUAUGGAUUAUUGAUCUUCUUCCAGGCAAGUGAGACCUGUACAGAAAGGACGGUUUGCACUGGAAUUAGAGGGGGACUAAUAUUCUAGUGGUAAGGUUUUUAAUGCUGAGUGCUGAGGUUUAAACCAGAGUUGCGGAGGGAUGACAAUGGUGGUGUGGCAGAACAGUUAGUGGAGAGGUUGAGGAGACAGAUGUGACUAUGCACUUCUCGACAGAUGGAAUACACUCUCCUAAUCUGUCUAAGUCCUUCCUUAGCCUCUCUGUUUCCUCAAAACUAUCUGCCCCUCCACCUCUCUUCACAUCAUCAGCAAAGUUUACUACAAUGCCAUCAAUUCCAUCAUCCAAAUCAUUGACAGAAAAAGGAAACGGUUUCCAACGGUGGUAAAUUAUGAAUACCUGUCUGGACAUGCCCCUCUGCUGACUGCUCCUGUGGCUCCUCCCACAGGCCCCUGUAUAAAGGCAAUUGGAGGCACUGCUCCUCCCUCAGACUCCAAGAUGCCGUGCUCCGUUUUUCUACUAAUAAAAGCCUAUCGUUCAGCUCCCGUCUCCGAGAGUUAUUGAUGGUGCAUCAAUUUUAUUAGCAGCAAUUUUAAAACAUGGAGAGCAUUUUACGACCAGGCCGAUUGGAUCUCAACCAACAAUCCCAGGAAGCCGGCGAUGCUUUCAAACUCUGGCUGGCAUGCUUCGAAUCGUACCUGGAGGGGAUUCAUGUGACCGACCCUGCCACGAUGUGCAGGGUUCUCCUCUCCAGAGUCAGUGCAAGGGUCUACUCCAUGAUCAGAGACCAAACGGACUACCAGGGUGCGAUGGAUGCCCUCAAAAGAUAAUACCAGCGGCCGGUGAACACCGUCUACGCAAGACAUCGCUUAGCGACGAGGCAGCAGCGGGCCGGAGAGUCGACCACUGAGUUUGUCCGAGCCCUACAGACACUCGUGCGGGCCUGUGACUGCAGGGGACUGACGGCAGAACAGCAUGCGGAGCUGUUAGUAAGAGAUGUCUUCGUUAUGGGGAUCAGGUCAGUGUACGUGCGCCAGCGGCUGCUGGAACACGCCAAUCUUACCUUACAUUCGGUGAUCGAGUUGGCUGACAUACUGGAGACUGCUCUGCACAACUCUGAUGCUCUCCAGGCGUGUGAUCUCCGCUCGGCCACAUGGACGCUGCAGACCCCGCAACCCACCGGCAAAUCGACCUCGGCUCCUGCCAGUCGCGUGUCCGUGAAGUCCCUGCAACCCGCCGGCGAGUCGACCACGGCUGCUGCCGGUCACAAGUCCGUGCAGUGUUACUUCUGCGGACCUGAAAAGCACCCCCGAAAACGCUGCCCGGCCCCCAGAAGCUACCUGCUCCAGCUGCAGAAAAGAAGGCCACUUCGCCAAGGUCUGUAAGUCUAAACCGCGAGCGGGGUCGAGCAGCGCCACGUGCGAGGUAUGGGGGUCACCAUCUUGCCUGCCUGCCUCGUGCGAGGCAUGGGGGUGGCCAUCUUUGUCGGCGCCACCUCGCCCCGCCUCCGACCCACGGGUGCUUACCGGGCUCCAAGAUGGCGAUUCAACUCUGGCCUCCAUGACCCUCGACUAAAGCGCUCCACACCAGCUCGCAAGGUCAAUGAUGGACAUCCUGGUGGAGGGGUACAGGACUAGAUGCCUGUUUGAUACGGGCAGCACUGAGAGUUUUAUUCACCCGGAUACGGUGCAACGCUGUGGACUCAUGACACAGCCAGUAAGCCAGAAGGUCACCAUGGCUUCUGGAUCACAUUCCACAGACAUCCAGGGAGGGUUGUGUAGCAACAUUGGUGGUGCAGUGCACAGAAUAUCGAGACUUUGCGUUACUGGUCAUGCCUCAACUGUGUGCCCCUGAGCUACUGGGGCUUGAUUUCCAGAGCCACCUGAAAAGUGUGACUAUGGAGUAUGAUGGGCCCCUCCCACCAAUCACUGUCAGAAAUUCUCAGUUUCAUGGGACUUCGUCAUAUACUCUGCUACGGACCACACACACACACCGACCCACACAUCCCACCCAGCACCAGGCCGACAGCUGCGCUACCGACACCACUUGCAGCCUCUCCACUCUCAAGGUCCCUCCCCCACCGCUGUUCGCCAACCUGACUGUAAGCCUGUGGCAACUAAAAGCAGGAGGUACAGCGUGGGGGACAGGGCCUUCAUUCAAUCAGAGGUGCAGCGGCUGCUCAGGGAGGGGAUCAUUGAGCCAAGCACAAGUCCUUGGAGGGCCCAGGUGGUCAUUGUUUGGACUGGGCAAAAAAAUAGGAUGGUCGUGGACUAUAGCACAGGUGACAGUGGUUGUGCUGUCUCUGGCCUGACUUGAGGUGCCAGCCCGUUAGGCGUCAGUAAUCCCUUAUACGUGUGCGAGGCGCCCGGUAUGGGAGUGUCGUGAGGAGUCUGUGUAGGGCUUGGUGUGCGCGGUGUCUCGUGGGUAUAUACAUCAGUGGGUAUGGGGUUUGUAAUCACCGUGGAGUGUUUGGGGUAGGGGUCUGGUGCUCCUGCGGGCACCAGGUCGCGAAUGGAGACUGUGUCCUCCCGCCCAUCAGGUAAGACCACAUAGGCAUACUGGGGGUUCGCAUGAAGUAGGUGAACCCUCUCGACCAUCGGGGAGUAUUUAUUGCUCCUCACACAUUUCCGGAGCAGCACUGGCCCUGGGGACAUCAGCCAAGACGGUAGGGUGGUCCCAGUGGCAGACUUCCUGGGAAAAGAAAAGAGUCACUCAUGAGGGGUGGCAUUGGUGGACGUGCAUAACAGGGAGCAGAUAGAGUGGAGUGCCGCGGGAGGACCUCCUGCCAGCAAGAGACUGGCAAUCCCUUUGACCUAAGGGCUAAGAGUGUGACCUUCCACACUGUGGCAUUCUCCCUCUCCACCUGUCCAUUCCCCCGGGGAUUAUAGCUCGUGGUCCUACUAGUAGCAAUGCCCCUAGCCAGCAGGUACUGGCGCAGCUUGUCACUCAUAACUGAGGACUCUCUAUCACUGGGGAUAUAGCAGGGAUAUCCGAACAAAGUGAAGAGCUGGCGCAGGGCUUUUAUGACGGACGCGGCAGUGGUGUCGGGGCAGGGGAUGGCAAAGGGGAACCACGAGUACUCGUCGUUAAUGUCGAGAAAGUAGACAUUGCGGUCGGUGGAGGGAAAGGGGCCCUUAAAGUCGACGCUCAGUCGCUAAAAGGGGCGGGUGGCCUUGAUAAGUUGUGCCUUUUCAGGACGGUAGAAGUGCGGUUUGCACUCAGCGCAGACUUGGCAGUCCCUGGUCAUCGUCCUGAUUUCCUCAAGGGAGUAAGACAGGUUCCGGACUUUCACAAAAUGGUAAAGUCGGGAGACCCACGGGUGGCAAAGAUCUGCAUGGAGGGCAUAUAGCCGGUCGAGCUGCGCGCUGGCACACGCUCCCCGGGAUAGGGCAUCAGGGGGCUCAUUGAGCCUAAAGGGGGGAUGAAUGUGGUAAACUAUGUAUACCUGUCUGGACAUGCCCCUCUGCUGACUGCUCCUGUGGCUCCUCCCACAGACCC